rnacentral:tRNA from 1 species
GGUUUUAUAUUCAAUAUAUGAUAUUAGACUGCAAUUCUAAAGUAGUUAUUAUUAACUAAAGCCU